CAUGUCCUUUAGAUUAAAAUUUAAGGUUUGAUCUGCUCAAUGAGGUUUUAAAUUGCCGCAGUAUUUUAACUGUGCGAAGGUAGCAUAAUAAUUAGUUUCUUGAUUGGAAGCUGGAAUGAAUGAUUGGACGAGAAAAUUACUGUCUCUUGGGAAAGGUUUAUUUAAUUUUAUUAUUAAGUUAAAAAGCUUAAAUAUAAAUAAAAGACGAGAAGACCCUAUAGAGUUUAAUAUUUAAGGCUUAUUAAUUUUUAGUAAAUUUAUUUGGUUUUAAUUAUUUAGUUGGGGUGACUUAAAGAUUAAAUAAAUUCUUUAAAUAUUUAAUUGUUGAUAAAUAAUUUUUAAAUCUAGUUUCUUAAAUUUAAAAUAAAUUACCUUAGGGAUAACAGCGUAAUUUUUCUUUAAAGCUCUUAUUGAAAGAAGAUUUUGCGACCUCGAUGUUGGAUUAAAAUUAAUUUUUGGUGCAGUUACUAAAAAAUUGGGUCUGUUCGACUUUUAAAAUUUUACAUGAUCUGAGUUUAAACCGGUGUAAGCCAGGUUGGAUUCUAUCUUUAUUAUUUUUUUAUAUUAUAGUACGAAAGGACCUAAUAUAAGUUAUAUAAUAAUUG
rnacentral:rRNA from 1 species